CAUGCAGAGGGUUUAGUCAAAAGAUCUCUGAGCUACUAAAUCAAAAACAUUCCAGCUCUGAGCAAAUGCACUAUGACUGCAGGUCAAGGCUUCUCACCACUGUCUCCCUGGUCCUGUGAUGUUUUAUUCAGCUGUAACAUUUCUCUUCUUGUUGUGCUGCAGUGUGAGAUGGAAGAAGACAGAGAAACAGGUGAGAGAGUGACCGGGGAGCGAGAGGGAGCGGUGAAGAGAUAAAAGUGGGAGAGAAGGCGGGAGAUGCAGGGAUAGUAGAGAGAUGACAGGAGGGAUGAUGUGCAACAAAGGUCCCUGGAACGCAUUUAAGUACAGGACAGAGCAGCAAAUGCUCACAUUCAACAGCGAUCACAGUGAAAAAGCUUAAUGACUGCAGAGCAUCCUGUGCUUUAUAAAUAAAGUUGGAUUGAACUGUAAGUCAAAUGUCCUCACCCUGCAGGUGGGGGGAAAUUCUUGAAUUGGUAUUUACAAAACCAAUGGUUUUGUAUUGUAUUAAAGUGCAGUGCUGUGAGCGCAGGAUUGAGCCAGUUACGUCUUCCCUGUCGUCCCCUCUGAGACAUCCAGUCAUUUAACAAACAAGAAGAAAAAGAGAAAAAAAAGAAGCAAUAGUACAAAGUACAAAGAGCUGACAACCAAACACGCAGCAUCACUAUUGAUCUGGAUUGGUCGGAAUAUGGUGGAUGGGACAGGAGCAAUGUCUACUCCACUUUUAUCCAUGUGUAGGCAGGAUUAGUAGCGCACACAAAAUGUUAAACAUGUUAAAUUUACACAACAUGUUAAAUUUGCAAAAUAUGGUUAGGGCUUUAGCAACUGAGCAUUUUGAAAAAAUGCUUGCUGUUACUGAAUUUGUAUCAUUUCUUUGUUUGGGCUGCAUUUUCUCAGAGGCUGAACUGAGAAAGUAACAGGUUGCUGGAAACCUUGGAGAAGAAUUUUGCCAAAAUGGAUAAAUUUUGUAUUUGCGAUUAAUCAUGGACCAUCUGGUUGGCCUUGACAUACCAACUCAGCGGACAAAACAUGUGAUGAAUGACGUUAAAACUACCCUUGAAAGAAAUCCUUGGUCUCAAACAUCCUCACAAAUAACACCUCAGCCAAGCAUUAAUUCCUUUUUAUCAACACAGUAUUUUACCACACACGUAAUGAUAAGAAUUGGAUUAUUUUCAUAUCAAACUCAAAAGUAGUUUCGCUUGUUUUUAAUUCGCAACAUACACAGGUUCAGGCUGAGAGAGAAACCUUGUAGAUGCAAACAACACCACACAUUCACUCCCAGCAUACACACCCCUCAUCUGCUAUCCUGAGGAGCCUCCCUUGUUGCAGGAGGGGCCCUGCACCUGCUAUGGCAUCAAGGGGCUCUCCCGGGGGGAGAACGCUGAAGGGGCCCAGGAGAGGCCCUGAGAUUUUGUUAAACAACACAUUUUUCCACAAACAUCCAGCCGGUCUCGGCUACAGCCUCAGGUAGAACCCAAAGCCCCAUCUGCUGGGCCCUGCUUCAUUCAUUCAUAUCGUGUUCAGCACCUUAUGUCCUUGACAGUUUUUACCCUCAAGGCCUCCUCCCUGUCUGAGCAGCGACUCCCAGCCAAAGGUUCAGUCUAUGCAGAGAAAAACAAGUGCUGCAUCCAAGCCACCUGUGACUUCUUACCUUCAUGUCAGUUCCAGGUUUAAACACCAGUUUAAAGGAAUAGCUUUAAAUCUGGGGAAAUACGCUCAUUAGUUAUCUUCCUGCGAGUUAGAUAAGAGGAUCACUACCACUCUCAGUGGUAGUGAACAGCUGGUUAGCUUAGCUUACUGGAAAUGGAGAAACGGCUAGUCCGGCUCUGAAUGAAGUCAGGCUGAUUGACAAAGCGAUUAUUACUAUUAUUAUUAUUUUUUUAAUUAAUUAAGUAACUGUUUAGUCUAUAACAGAUCCAAAAAUAGUGAAAAAUAUGCAUCACAAGUUACCAGGGACCAAGGUGAUGUCUGACCAACAGACUAAAAACCCCAAAAUAUUUAAUUUAGUAAAAUGUAAAGCAGAGAAAAGCAACAAAUCCUGUGAGAAGCUGGAACAAGAAAAUGUAAGGCAUUGUUGCUUGAUAUAACCCUUCAAUUUAAUUCAACUUUUCAAAUUUAACAAUUUAUCAACAGUUUAUCAAUAGUCAAUUAAGUGUUGCAGCUCUGCAGUCUGAAGGUGAAAAAAAUCUCCCUAUCAGCACCUCUAAAGCUCACUGAUUAAUGGCGACAAACUAUUUUUUGGCUGGGAGCAGUAACUUCCUGAAGCCUACCAAAAACCGUAAAAAAACAAAAACAAGACAGUUAAUUGCCAUUUUACACUUUUUCACUAUUGAUUAAAGAUAAAAACAUGUUAAUUAGUGAGCUUUAGAGGUGCUGGUAGGUGGAUUUUAUUACAUUCAGACAGAGCCAGGCUAGCUGUUUCUCCCUGUAAGAUAAGCUAAAUGGCUCUAGCUACGUAUUUGCCAUACAGGCAUGAGAGUGGUAUCAAUCUUCUCAUCUAAUGCUUGGCAAGAAAGCAAAUAAGCACAUAUCCAAAAAAUGGCAAACUAUUCCUUUAAGUCUGCUGCUCUUGUAGGCUCCUAUGGCAUAGUAAGAGAGAGACUAGCUUGUCUUCCCAGCAUCAAGCCACAAAGCCUCUUGUAGUACCAACAACAGCCCGCUGGGAGAUCCUGAAUCACUAGAAAGGUGAAGGAGCAGAGAACCAAGAAAUUAAGCCUCUCAGCAGCAGCACUACCUGGGCUCUAUACAUCAAAAGCUGAGCAGAAACCAGCAGGGAGUUUUUUUUUCUUUCACUGGGGACGCUUUCAGCGCCGUGCUGCCUGACAAAUAGGCUGGAAGGUUCAGUGCAUUAACCCACAUUAGGCUGACACUAGGCUGCGAACAUGUAGUGAUAGAGGGGCAAUAGGGGUCUGCAGGGAAUGACAUAUAGCUCAGGUCUUUGGGGUGCAAUAAACACACAUGCAUGAACAGGAAAAAAACGCACAGGUAUGUACUAACACACACCAAACAUACAGCAAAGGAGCUAUGGCAGGUUGGUUUUACUGUGAUUUACUUCUUGGUGGAUUGUCUUUGAAAUCAACCUGUCUCCUCAGCUGUCACACAUACUGUAAGAGAAGUGAAAGUGGUCCUUCUAGGUGCUUCAGCUAAUUCAUCCCUCCAGUCAGAGAGCUGCCACAACACAGCUGUACGUGUGUGUGUGUGUGUGUGUGUGUGUGAGAGUGUGAGAGAGAGAGAGAGAGAGAGAGAGAGAGAGAGAGAGAGAGAGAGAGAGAGAGCUUUGAGAGGAACCCUCAUUAGGCUGUUAAGAUUGAGGAAGAGACACAGACACAACACAACCACACAGACAGACAGAGAUGCAGGGAGGUGGGUCCUGUGGAAGGAAACAGUAACGGCAAAAUGAAAACAGAGAAACUUCCACAGCACCUGUGUAGAUAUGACAGGUUAAGAGAUUGAGAUCAACAGUGGUGCAGCCCUGAUCAGAGGACACAGACUCCAGUAAACACAGAAGUCAUCACUGCACAAAAGUUUUACUGUUAUAUAAUAUUAAUUUACUUAUGCAGCUGUGCCUUGUGAACUACAAAAUUGCUCUGUGAAUAAAAAUUAACUGCGCCAAAAUUGGUUUGGUUUAUUGACAACUUUGUAAUGUGUUAAUAACAUACAAUACAUGAGUUUUUGUGUGGGUAAAAUUAUAAAAAAAACACUUAUUUACAUCAUUGUCCCUGGUCUUUUAGCUGUGCACCAACUUUAAUAUAGAUGUAGACAGGAUUUCCAUGUCUGACUUAAGAAAUACUGGAAACCAAUGCUAACAAAGUGGAAAAUUAAACCAGAAAAGCAGCCAGUCAAUAAAAUAAAUCAAAGAGUUUGUUGACUCAUGGUGAUUUAAUAAAUUCAAAGCCACUGCAAACCGUGCCUCAGUGACUGAGAGAAAAGACAGAAGCAGAUCAGUUCUGUUUUCCAUGAAUGGGAAUGCGUGUGUGCAAGAUAGUGACUCACAUUAUAAGCUUAAUAAGUGCAGCCCCUUUACGCUCUCUUUAGGUCAUUAACAUUACAGCACAUUCAAACAUUUUGGCAAGAAGAAUUUUUUUUUUAAAGAAAACAAAAAGCCCCCUUUACCCUUUUGCUCCCUCAAGGAAGUACAUGGAGAAAAAAAAGAAUAUGAGUAUGAAAGAAAAAACUCCUUCAUCAUCUCCGUAGGCAACUCAAAUCCUCCUGUAGCUGCAGCCAAAAAUUAAAUUAAAAAGACUGAAGUGUUGGGGUGUUUAACAGGCACAGUGCUAAACCGAGAGGGGAUGGAAGUUCUCUCAUGCUUAACAAUUUUUUCCUCUGCAUUCUGCUGUUCAGAAGGAUCAAACCAAUUAAAAGCAUACUACCGCACACAUAUACACACAUGCCAGCUCAAACAUCAGCAGCACAAAUACCUGAAUAUACUCCUUGUUAAUGAACUGUCCUAAUCCUAAAUGAUGCUAUUUGAUCCAUUUACUAUUGUCACAAAUUAGAGUGUACCUCACAGGUCUGACAGCUGAGAAAACCUGCUUGCUAUUGACUGGAAGAUCCCUCACACAGCGUGCAACCUCAGGUAUGUUGGUCUGAAUGUUUCAUUUUCAAGAAAUGUAUGAACAUAUUCAUGUGUAUUUGCAGAUAUGCACACUAUGUGUAAAUGUAUUUCGUCUUUAUGUGUAUUCUGUUUGUUUAUAUCUUGUGUUGCAUGCAUACUAUUAUUUUUUUUUAAAAAGUGAGAAGUUUUACACAAGUAAGAUUUUUAAAGAAAGUUGCGGUACCAAAGUUGAAACUAAGGCUUAUUAAUAAUUAAUAAAGUUAGUCACUUAUAAGCCUUUAAUAAGAACUAUUUUUGAGAUCCCGGGUUGUGAAUAACCCCUUUGGCUGGUGUUUAUCCUUUUCUCUUUGCCUUUCAGUCACUCAUAUUCACUUUCUAAGCCAUCAAGCCUGCAGUUAUAAAUGUUCAAACGUCAUUGAUAAAGGUUUUUAAUAAUCAAACCUGAAAGUGUUGAUGAGUUGUUAAUAAAUGGAUUUUGGCCCAGGUCGUCUGCAGCCAAUUUCUAGAGGGUAACUAA